GAUGAACGCUAGCGAUAGGCUUAACACAUGCAAGUCGAGGGGCAGCAUUGAAUCAGCUUGCUGAUUUAGAUGGCGACCGGCGGAUGGGUGAGUAACGCGUAUGCAACCUACCUUCAAAAGGGAGAUAGCCCGGAGAAAUUCGGAUUAAUAUCCCAUAAUGUUUUAUAUUCGCAUGAAUAUAGAAUUAAAGAUUUAUUGUUUGGAGAUGGGCAUGCGUUCCAUUAGUUAGUUGGUAAGGUAACGGCUUACCAAGACAUCGAUGGAUAGGGGAACUGAGAGGUUUAUCCCCACACUGGGACUGAGACACGGCCCAGACUCCUACGGGAGGCAGCAGUGAGGAAUAUUGGUCAAUGAGCGAGAGCUUGAACCAGCCAAGUCGCGUGAAGGAUGACUGCCUUAUGGGUU
rnacentral:rRNA from 1 species